AUUGAACGCUGGCGGCAGGCCUAACACAUGCAAGUCGAACGAGUGGCGGACGGGUGAGUAAUGUCUGGGAAACUGCCCGAUGGAGGGGGAUAACUACUGGAAACGUUAGCUAAUACCCCAUACCAUCGGAUCUGCCCAGAUGGGAUUGGCUUGUAGGUGGGGUAACGGCUCACCUAGGCGACGAUCACUAGCUGGUCUGAGAGGAUGACCAGCCACACUGGAACUGGAAAACGGUCCAGACUCCUACGGGAGGCAGCAUAGGGGAAUAUUGCACAAGGGGCGCAAGCCUGAUGCAGCCAUGCCGCGGGUAUGAAGAAGGCCUUCGGGUUGUAAAGUACUUUCAGCGGGGAGGCGGUACCCGAAGAAGAAGCACCGGCUAACUCCGUGCCAGCAGCCGCGGUAAUUC
rnacentral:rRNA from 1 species